AGCGAACGCUGGCGGCAGGCCUAACACAUGCAAGUCGAGCGCCCCGCAAGGGGAGCGGCAGAAGGGAGAGUAACACGUGGGAACGUACCCAUCAGUUCGGAACAACCCAGGGAAACUUGGGCUAAUACCGGAUACGCCCGAAAGGUGCAAGAUUCUUCUGUGAGGGAUGGGCCGGCGUCGGGUUAGAUAGUUGGUGGGGUAAUGGCCCACCAAGGCGACGAUCAGUAGCUGGUCUGGGAGGAUGAUCAGCCUCACUGGGACUGGGACACGGCCCAGACUCCUACGGGAGGCAGCAGUGGGGAAUAUUGGACAAUGGGCGCAAGCCUGAUCCAGCCAUGCCGCGUGGAUGAUGAAGGCCCUAGGGUUGUAAAGUCCUUUCGGCGGGGAAGAUAAUGACGGUACCCGCAGAAGAAGCCCCGGCUAACUUCGUGCCAGCCGCCGCAGUAAAAC
rnacentral:rRNA from 1 species